rnacentral:rRNA from 1 species
CCUACGGGAGGCUGCAGUGGGGGAUAUUGCACAAUGGGGGGAACCCUGAUGCAGCGACGCCGCGUGGGUGAAGGAGUGCUUCGGCAUGUAAAGCUCUAUCGGCAGGGAAGAAGCAAGACGGUAACUGCCUAAGAAGCCCCGGCUAACUACGUGCCAGCAGCCGCGGUAAUACGUAGGGGGCGAGCGUUAUCCGGAUUGACUGGGUGGAAAGGGAGCGUAGACGGCCAAGCAAGCCAGGGGUGAAAGCCCGGGGCCCAACCCCGGGACUGCACUUGGAACUGCAUGGCUGGAGUGCGGGAGGGGCAGGCGGAAUUCCUGGUGUAGCGGUGAAAUGCGUAGAUAUCAGGAGGAACACCAGCGGCGAAGGCGGCCUGCUGGACCGCGACUGACGUUGAGGCUCGAAAGCGUGGGGAGCGAACAGGAUUAGAUACCCGUGUAGUC